CUUUGCCUAUUGUGAAUAGGAAGACUUACAAUCUUGUCCAACUUGACAUUAUUUGUAUUUCCUUUUCUCUUGAUUUCCUUUCUUGGAUUUCCUUUCUUGUAUCUCUUCUAGCAUCUUCUAGAAGGAGAUAACUUGCUCCUCAAGUUAGUUGGAAUUAUCCAACAAUUCACACAGGAUUCUUCGUCCCUACAACUCUCUACAAGAAGUGAAGACCGGUUUGUUCGUUGGAUUGAACAAAGGACACGUCGUCAUUAGACGCGAGCUAGCUCUUUCUCCCAAUUCUCGCAAAGGGAAAUAUGGAUUUUGAUACUCUAAACUUGAUUGAUGAAGACAACUUUAAUCUCGAAGAUGAAGAUAUGAUCCAGGAGGAUGAUAAUGAGCAGAAUCAGAUACUACCUCAUGAAACCGCUUCUUCAGGGACAGCUGAGAAAGGUACAAGGAGUUCAAGUAUACUUCGUACUAAUGCUGGAAAACUUCAUAAAAGAAGAGAAAUAUCCUAAUGGAACAACUGAUGUUACAUGCAAAUAUUGUGAGAAGGCUUAUUGCUUGAAUCUGCGUCAAAAUGGUACUAACACCAUGAAUCGUCAUAUGAAAGACUCGUGGAAGUACACCUAGAAGUAGUUAUAGAAAGUUGGAUAUGAUGGUCUUUAGAGAAAUGAUUGCAGUGGCUUUAAUUCAACAUAAUCUUCCAUAUUCGUUUGUCGAAUAUGAAAAAAUUAGAGAAGCAUUUACUUAUGCUAAUCCUUCUAUAGAAUUUUGGAGUAGAAAUACUGCAGCCUCUGAUGUCUUCAAAAUUUAUGAGAAAGAGAAAAAGAAGCUUAAGGAAGUCUUAGCUAUAAUCCCGGAUAGGAUUUGUUUAACAACAGAUCUUUGGAGAGCUUUAACUGUUGAAAGUUAUAUUUGCUUAACAGCCCAUUAUAUAGAUGUUGAUGGGAUUCUGAAAACGAAUAUCUUAUCUUUCUGUGCUUUCGCGCCUCCACAUACUCAAGUAUUAUAGCAAUGAAGCUUAUUGAGCUGUUGAAAGAUUGGGAAAUAGAAAAGAAAUUUUCUACUCUAACUGUAGAGAAUGCUUAUGCAAAUGAUACUAUGCAAGACAUUUUAAAGAGGAAGUUACAAAAAGAUCUGGUUUGCAGGGGAGAAUUUUUUCAUGUGAGGUACAAAUCCUAAAUUUGAUUGUGUAAGAUGGUUUAGAAGUGAUAUGUGGAGCUUUGGAUAAAA